rnacentral:lncRNA from 1 species
UUGCUUGUUACGAAACCUCAACUUUAAAACCCCCAUAUUGUUUUAGCUUGAUAUUGAUCCCAUAAAGAUAAAGUGUAAUAGUUGGUCUCUGUGGAUUCGAUCCUAAAGUGCUACAUCGACAUACCAUUCGAUUGUGGUAGUGUUUACAUUAGGUUAAUUGGUGUGCGUAUACACGUAAUAUCACGCUAUCUGAGAAUUGUCGAACAACAACAGACCUAAACCAUUGCCUAAGAUAUAACUACCUCGUC